rnacentral:rRNA from 1 species
CCUACGGGAGGCAGCAGUGAGGAAUAUUGGUCAAUGGACGAGAGUCUGAACCAGCCAAGUAGCGUGAAGGAUGACUGCCCUAUGGGUUGUAAACUUCUUUUAUAUAGGAAUAAAACGAGGUAUGCAUACCCUCUUGUAUGUACCAUAUGAAUAAGGAUCGGCUAACUCCGUGCCAGCAGCCGCGGUAAUACGGAGGAUCCGAGCGUUAUCCGGAUUUAUUGGGUUUAAAGGGAGCGUAGAUGGGUUGUUAAGUCAGUUGUGAAAGUUUGCGGCUCAACCGUAAAAUUGCAGUUGAUACUGGCAGUCUUGAGUACAGUAGAGGUGGGCGGAAUUCGUGGUGUAGCGGUGAAAUGCUUAGAUAUCACGAAGAACUCCGAUUGCGAAGGCAGCUUACUGGACUGCAACUGACACUGAUGCUCGAAAGUGUGGGUAUCAAACAGGAUUAGAUACCCGGGUAGUC